UGUAAGUUUAGUGAACUGUGUGCAGCAUCAGUACCUCACAGCCUCCCUUGUAAAACCUGUGGAGCUGAAAAUGCUUUCUUCUUACUUUGUCUAACAACAAGAGAAAAUAACCGAGCCACUGUUAUUAAGUAGCACUGCUUAAAGAAAGUGUAAGCUCACUAAGGUAAAACAACCCCUAACUGGGCUUUUUAAAAAUAGGAACGAAGGAAUUUUAAGUUUGCUAUCUAAUUGCUAGAAUACAAAUUACUCGGUGAAGUAGUGGCCCAGAAUCCAAAUAACGUGCGCCACAGCAUUCCGUUCUAUCACUGAGAUGGGGCUUUAAACUACAAGGUGUGUGUUUUUAGCUCUACAGAUAACAAGCCUCCGUAAAAGAAGUGGAAGCUGCAUCUACUUUACUAUCAGUCAUGGUAACAAUGAGGGACUUGAUUCAGAAUCUGAAAAAUGAGGACAUUUUGGGGAGACCUUUCAUGCAAAUGCUGAAGAAAUGACUUUUCAUGAUCCCAUUUUAUCCGUCUAAGUGCAUGGAUCCAUUUUAUCCAUCUAAGUGUAUGGAUCCUAUGUAUGUAAGACUCUUCAGGACAUAUAAGAUGCAUUUGAACACAAACAUCUGAACAUUGGGUGUUUUUGUUCCAAAAAUCUGAAGAAAAACAAGUACCUCAAUUUUGUUUCCAUCGAGGUCCAUGGUUUAACAGUGAACGAAGAUAAACUGCAUCUGUGUAUUGGCAUUUAUCUGUCUUACGUACUCAUACAAAGGACGUACACGUGGAAGCCUGUCAGCAGUAGAGAAGCUAUCUCUACAAAGAAGAGACUCAACAUGUUGGUUCCACAGCUCUAAAGAUACUGGGUGCCAAUGGCAGAUACUUGGAAAAUGAAGACUAGGAGUUCCAUGCUGUUCCAAGAUGAUAAAAGCUGGAAACACAGGCCCCAUGGGAAGGCAGUAUGCCAACUGUGCCAUCUCACCUGCAAUUAUCCGAAUUGGGUAAACCCAAGCCAUGAAGGUGUGUCCACCUCAAAAGGGGCAGGACGGACAACAGCACACAGGGAGCCCCUGCUGAGCUUUGUUGAUUUGGAAUGACUUAGGUCAAAACUCAUCUUUCAAAAGAACCAACAGCUGGAGGAUAGAGCUGAGUUGUGGGAUACCUGCUUCACAUAUGCAAGCCUUGGCGUGUGCCCCUAACUAGGACCCCACUCUGCAGAAAAGAACCAAUACUGGGUAAUAUGCAAUAAUUUGAGUUUGAGAACUACCUGUAUAGUCAUAAUCACAUGUCAGGUGAAUUGUCAAACUAGACAAUCCCAACACACACACACACACACACACACACACACACACACACACACCUACCUCAACACAUGCAUACACCUACCUCAAGAUAUAGGUUCUCACUAUAAAACUAAGGUCUUUCAAUAAUUUUAAAAAAAAUAUUUCAGAUAAAUCUCCCAUGUAAUUGCAUUUGUGACACAGACUAUGACUUGAGAAAUAGGGUGAUGUUUGAUGUUGUUGCUGUUGCUGUGUGUAUGACUGUGCAGCAGUGAAGUGAUGCUUGGCCAAGAGUCAAUACUCUUGGCCACUGAACAAGGUUAUAUAAGAUAAUACAGGAGAAACCCAUACAGCAGACUAUGUCAUGUACAAGAGGUUGGUGAUACUGACUUGCCAGUGAACCUACAACGCAGGAACACUACUCCAGGAUUCUGUCAUCUUUGAUACCAUGUAUCCCUCAAAGAGAAAAUAAUCUACAUGUUUUCCAAUACAACACCCCAGAAUUAAAUUUACUUAUUAUC